GACGAACGCUGGCGGCGUGCUUAACACAUGCAAGUCGAACGCUGAAGGCUCAGCUUGCUGGGCUGGAUGAGUGGCGAACGGGUGAGUAACACGUGAGUAACCUGCCCUCUUCUUUGGGAUAACGGUCGGAAACGGCUGCUAAUACCGGGUAUUCACUGUCCUUCGCAUGGGGGGUGGUGGAAAGGUUUUUUCUGGUGGGGGAUGGGCUCGCGGCCUAUCAGCUUGUUGGUGGGGUGAUGGCUUACCAAGGCUUUGACGGGUAACCGGCCUGAGAGGGUGACCGGUCACAUUGGGACUGAGAUACGGCCCAGACUCCUACGGGAGGCAGCAGUGGGGAAUAUUGCACAAUGGGCGAAAGCCUGAUGCAGCGACGCCGCGUGAGGGAUGAAGGCCUUCGGGUUGUAAACCUCUUUCGCUCAUGGUCAAGCCGCAACUUUGGGUUGUGGUGAGGGUAGUGGGUAAAGAAGCACCGGCUAACUACGUGCCAGCAGCCGCGGUAAUACGUAGGGGGCGAGCGUUGUCCGGAAUUAUUGGGCGUAAAGGGCUUGUAGGCGGUUUGUCGCGUCUGCCGUGAAAUCCUCUGGCUUAACUGGGGGCGUGCGGUGGGUACGGGCAGACUUGAGUGCGGUAGGGGAGACUGGAACUCCUGGUGUAGCGGUGGAAUGCGCAUAUAUCAGGAAAACACCCGUGGCGAUGGCGUGUCUCUGGGGCGUACUGACGCUGAGUAGCGAUUCGUGGGUGCGAACAGGAUUAUAGACCCUGGUAUCCCAGGGCGAAUUCGACAGUGGAUAUCAGCUUUCGAUACGUCUGAAAGCGAAGGAGAAGCCCGUGUACCCAGUUUUUUGUUCCCUGUGUGAUGGUUAAUUAUGCGCUGGCGUUUGUGUUAUUAUUGUGGGUGUGUGGUUGAUGCUACUGUUGUGUUGUGUGUGUGUGUUUUGGUCUAUGUAUUGAUUGUGGGUUGUGUGUUGUGUUGUGUGUGUGUGUUGGUGUGUGGUGUGAUUGA
rnacentral:rRNA from 1 species